UACGGGGGGGGCAAGCGUUGUUCGGAAUUACUGGGCGUAAAGGGCUCGUAGGCGGCCAACUAAGUCGGAUGUGAAAUCCCCAGGCUCAACUUGGGAACUGCAUCCGAUACUGGAUGGCUUGAAUUCGGGAGAGGGAUGCAGAAUUCCAGGUGUAGCGGUGAAAUGCGUAGAUAUCUGGAGGAAUACCGGUGGCGAAGGCGGCAUCCUGGACCGACAUUGACGCUGAGGAGCGAAAGCUAGGGGAGCGAAUGGG
rnacentral:rRNA from 1 species